rfam:Roseburia sp. CAG:182 genomic scaffold, scf226
UUUAGAAAAGGGAAUGAAGUUCUCCCUCGAUUGAUUUCGAAACCGCUGAUUCAGGCUGAUGACUUCUGUGCAUUU